rnacentral:Y_RNA from 1 species
GGCUGGUCUGAGUGCAAUGGUGUUUACAACUAACUGAUCACAGCCAGUUACAGGUUUCUUUGUUCCUUCUUCACUGACACUGCUUCACUUGACUAGCUUUAA